CCGCUUAGAAGCUGGGCUGGGCAGGAAAGAUGAAAACCCAUGCCAGGGACAGGUCCAGAUGGCAGGAGUUUUCUCUUUGCUUUGGCUUCCCUGGGCAUAGCCCACUCUUGCCAGGGAUCUACGAUCACCUGUAAUCUACCUUCCCGAGGAGCAGUGAUGGAUUGCUGGGGGCUGCCUCACCUCAUGGCAGGCAAAUGGAAGAAAGCUGUUCUCGCCUUAGGAAAGAAAGAUUUAACUAAUGUACCCACCUUCUUACAGUAAAUAUCUCUGUCUUAAAAAAAAUUUUAAUUGUGGUAAAAUACACAUAAAAUUUAUAAUCUUAACCAUUUUUCAGUAUACAAUUCAGUAGUGUUAAGGCUAUUCAUGGUAUUGUAUGACCCAUCUCCAGAAUGUUUCUGUCUUGCAAAACUGAAACUCUGUUUCCAUUAAACAACUCCCUGUGAAUAUGUGUGUCUGUGUGUGUCUGGCUAUAUAUUUGUGAGUGUAUAUGUCUGUCUGCAUGUGACUGUGCACACAUCUGUGUGAG
rnacentral:lncRNA from 1 species